GAGUUUGAUCCUGGCUCAGAACGAACGCUGGCGGCGUGCCUAACACAUGCAAGUCGAACGGAUUUGAGAAGCUUGCUUCUCAAGUUAGUGGCGCACGGGUGAGUAACGCGUAGAUAAUYUGCCUGAUGAUCUGGGAUAACACUUCGAAAGGGGUGCUAAUACCGGAUAAGCCCACGGAGUCUUUGGACUUUGCGGGAAAAGGGGGGGGCCUUCGGGCCUUCUGUCAUCAGAUGAGUCUGCGUACCAUUAGCUAGUUGGUAGGGUAAAGGCCUACCAAGGCUACGAUGGUUAGCUGGUCUGAGAGGAUGAUCAGCCACACUGGAACUGAGACACGGUCCAGACUCCUACGGGAGGCAGCAGUGGGGAAUUUUGCGCAAUGGGGGAAACCCUGACGCAGCAACGCCGCGUGGGUGAUGAAGGCUUUCGGGUCGUAAAGCUCUGUCAGAGGGGAAGAAAUGAGUCUGGCUAAUAUCCAGAUUUCUUGACGGUACCCUCAAAGGAAGCACCGGCUAACCCCGUGCCAGCAGCCGCGGUAAUAC
rnacentral:rRNA from 1 species